CAGGAUGAACGCUAGCUACAGGCUAACACAUGCAAGUCGAGGGGCAGCGAGAGGAAAGCUGCUUCCUGUCGGCGACCGCGCACGGGUGAGUAACGCGUAUCCAACUUCCCCAUAGUAGAGGAUAGCCCGGCGAAAAGUCGGAUUAAUACUCUAUGUUGUACAACGAGGACAUCUGAAUUGUACCAAAGAUUCAUCGCUAUGGGAUGGGGAUGCGUCUGAUUAGCUUGUUGGCGGGUAACGGCCACCAAGGCGACGAUCAGUAGGGGUUCUGAGAGGAAGGUCCCCCACAUUGGUACUGAGACACGGACCAAACUCCUACGGGAGGCAGCAGUGAGGAAUAUUGGUCAAUGGACGAGAGUCUGAACCAGCCAAGUAGCGUGCAAGGAUGACUGCCCUAUGGGUUGUAAACUGCUUUUAUGCGGGAAUAAAGUCAGGUACGUGUACCUGUUUGUAUGUACCGCAUGAAUAAGGACCGGCUAAUUCCGUGCCAGCCGCCGC
rnacentral:rRNA from 1 species